UGUCUGUCUGUCUGUCUGUCUGUCUGUCUGUCUGUCUGUCUGUCUGUCUGUCUGUCUGUCUGUCUGUCUGUCUGUCUCUGUCUCUCUCUCCCUCUGUCUCUCUCUCCCUCUGUCUCUCUCUCUUUGUCUCUCUCUUUGUCUUUCUCUCUCCCUCUGCUCGAUCUCCCUCCCUCCCCCUCUCUCUUUCUCUCUCUCUCUUUCUCUCUGUCUCUCUCUCUCCCCAUCUCUGAAAACGUGACAGGCGGUAUGGUUACAUGACCAACCCUCAGGUGAAGGGGCGUGGCUCUGAAUGUCAACAGUUUACAAAACAAAAAAAAGGAGGGAAAUUAUAUCCCAAAUGGCCUUUUCCCUCUAUAGUGCACUACAAGGGCUUAUAGGGCUCGGGUCAAAACUAGUGCACUACUUUGGGAAAAGUGCCCUUAGAGUUGUACUAUCUAGACGGACCGUAUAAAGGUUCAUCACUGUGUAUGAUAUUUUAUAAACCUAGUAGCUGAAUGCUGAUGUCUGCGUAUUACUUUUUUAAAUCGGGGAGUUGGGGGGGGGAGUUGGGGGGGUACACUUUAGGGGAAGCGUAGAGAAAUCGCACACAAACCUAACGUUAUGUGGUUGUAAAAAAAAUGGUGGCCAUUUAUAUUUACAGGCUGUGUCCCAAUGGAAGCCUAUUCCCAGUAUAGGGCACUACUUUCGAUUGUUCGCUAUAGAGCCCAAUGAUCCCUGGUCAAAUGUAGUGGACUACAGCCCUAUGAUCCCUGGUCAAAUGUAGUGGACUACAGCCCUAUGGUGCCUGGUCAAAUGUAGUGGACUACAGCCCUAUGAUCCCUGGUCAAAUGUAGUGGACUACAGCCCUAUGAUCCCUGGUCAAAUGUAGUGGACUACAGCCCUAUGGUCCCUGGUCAACAGUAGUGGACUACAGCCCUAUGAUCCCUGGUCAAAUGUAGUGGACUACAGCCCAAUGGUCCCUUGUCAAAUGUAGUGGACUACAGCCCUAUGGUCCCUGGUCAAAUGUAAUAGACUACAGCCCAAUGGUCCCUGGUCAAUUGUAGUGGACUACAGCCCAAUGGUCCCUGGUCAAAUGUAGUGGACUACAGCCCUAUGAUCACUGGUCAAAUGUAGUGGACUACAGCCCUAUGGUCCCUGGUCAACAGUAGUGGACUACAGCCCAAUGGUCCCUGGUCAAAAGUAGUGGACUACAGCCCUAUGGUCCCUGGUCAAAUGUAGUGGACUACAGCCCAAUGGGCCCUGGUCAAAUGUAGUGGACUACAGCCCAAUGGGCCCUGGUCAAAUGUAGUGGACUACAGCCCAAUGAUCCCUGGUCAAAAGUAGUGGACUACAGCCCAAUGAUCCCUGGUCAAAAGUAGUGUGCUGCAUAGGGAAUGGUAAGCUUACUAGUUGGUAGGUUGUUGCAGUUUUUCUUACCACACUUUGUUUCUGGAAAGAGAUGUCAAACUGCAUGUUCACUGUUCAGACAUUAGGAUUGUUUCCAACUUGAAAACUACACACAUUCAUGUGUUUCCUGAUUUCAUGUGUUUCCUGAUUUCAUGUGUUUCCUGAUUUCAUAAAGCACAUUUCUAUAUGUUAAAUGUUUAGGUAACUGUUUGUCAUGGGAAACAAUAUCUUAUUUUACACAUUCAUAUUUCCUGUUGGGGAAAAGUUUGCUGAUCAAAAGCCAAUAUGGACAAAAUAGUUCCACAACUCUGUUUGUCCAGCAGGGUUGGGAUGAAUUCAAUUUCAGUUUGCAGUUCAUUCAGAAAGUAAACCAAAUUAAUUUAAAAGCAUUGACGAAUUGGAAUGACAAUUGGAAUUUCAGUGUCUGAAUGAACUUGAAUUGAAGUGGAAUGGAACCAACGCUGAUGUUCACAUACUGCUUCUAGUUCUAUUAUACUUUCAUCCUAGAAUUAAGACUAAAAUGUAUUUUUAUGUCCUCUCUGCUACGCUUGCAAUAUUCCGGUAAAUUGUCUAGAUAUCCCCGUUGAAGGAUUCCAGAUUCCCUGAUUAAUACAUUCAGAUUCUGGGAAUCUUUCAUCCGGAGUUUUUGGAAAAAUCUUGGAAUUUUGGGGGAAAUAGAGUUUCUGGAAUUUUGCAAACCUACUUCCUGCUCACUAAGCCCUACUCAACCAGAACUGCAUCUUGAAACAUCAGGGAAAUAAUCAACUUACGGCUUAAUAACUUACUUACGGCUUACGGCUCUAUGUGAAUGACUGAAGGAGUGAUGUCUGUCUAUGCUUUGUCAUGCUGUACUUCAACCAUUAAACAUACUGAACUGUUAA
ensembl:lncRNA